rnacentral:rRNA from 1 species
UAUGUAGGGUGCGAGCGUUGCCCGGAUUUACUGGGCGUAAAGGGCGCGUAGGCGGUGUGUCGCGUCGGCCGUGAAAAACCUGCAGCUUAACUGUGGGCUUGCGGUCGAUACGGGCAUCACUGGAGUUCGGCAGGGGAGACUGGAAUUUCGUGGUGAUAGCGGUGAAAUGCGCAGAUAUCAGGAGGAACACCGGUGGCGAAGGCGGUUCUCUGGGCGAUUACCUGACGCUGAGGAGCGAAAGUGUGGGGAGCGAACAGG